rnacentral:sRNA from 1 species
UCAUAACAUUUAUGAAUGGAACUCGAC